rnacentral:rRNA from 1 species
UGGCGGACGGGUGAGUAAUGUCUGGGAAACUGCCUGAUGGAGGGGGAUAACUACUGGAAACGGUAGCUAGUACCGCAUAACGUCGCAAGACCAAAGAGGGGGACCUUCGGGCCUCUUGCCAUCGGAUGUGCCCAGAUGGGAUUAGCUAGUAGGUGGGGUAACGGCUCACCUAGGCGACGAUCCCUAGCUGGUCUGAGAGGAUGACCAGCCACACUGGAACUGAGACACGGUCCAG